GCUCAGAUUGAACGCUGGCGGCAGGCCUAACACAUGCAAGUCGAGCGGUAGCACAGAGAGCUUGCUCUCGGGUGACGAGCGGCGGACGGGUGAGUAAUGUCUGGGAAACUGCCUGAUGGAGGGGGAUAACUACUGGAAACGGUAGCUAAUACCGCAUAACGUCGCAAGACCAAAGUGGGGGACCUUCGGGCCUCAUGCCAUCAGAUGUGCCCAGAUGGGAUUAGCUGGUAGGUGGGGUAACGGCUCACCUAGGCGACGAUCCCUAGCUGGUCUGAGAGGAUGACCAGCCACACUGGAACUGAGACACGGUCCAGACUCCUACGGGAGGCAGCAGUGGGGAAUAUUGCACAAUGGGCGCAAGCCUGAUGCAGCCAUGCCGCGUGUGUGAAGAAGGCCUUCGGGUUGUAAAGCACUUUCAGCGGGGAGGAAGGCGAUAAGGUUAAUAACCUUGUCGAUUGACGUUACCCGCAGAAGAAGCACCGGCUAACUCCGUGCCAGCAGCCGCGGUAAUACGGAGGGUGCAAGCGUUAAUCGGAAUUACUGGGCGUAAAGCGCACGCAGGCGGUCUGUCAAGUCGGAUGUGAAAUCCCCGGGCUCAACCUGGGAACUGCAUUCGAAACUGGCAGGCUAGAGUCUUGUAGAGGGGGGUAGAAUUCCAGGUGUAGCGGUGAAAUGCGUAGAGAUCUGGAGGAAUACCGGUGGCGAAGGCGGCCCCCUGGCAGGUGCGAAAGCGUGGGGAGCAAACAGGAUUAGAUACCCUGGUAGUCCACGCUGUAAACGAUGUCGAUUUGGAGGUUGUGCCCUUGAGGCGUGGCUUCCGGAGCUAACGCGUUAAAUCGACCGCCUGGGGAGUACGGCCGCAAGGUUAAAACUCAAAUGAAUUGACGGGGGCCCGCACAAGCGGUGGAGCAUGUGGUUUAAUUCGAUGCAACGCGAAGAACCUUACCUGGUCUUGACAUCCACAGAACUUUCCAGAGAUGGAUUGGUGCCUUCGGGAACUGUGAGACAGGUGCUGCAUGGCUGUCGUCAGCUCGUGUUGUGAAAUGUUGGGUUAAGUCCCGCAACGAGCGCAACCCUUAUCCUUUGUUGCCAGCGGUUAGGCCGGGAACUCAAAGGAGACUGCCAGUGAUAAACUGGAGGAAGGUGGGGAUGACGUCAAGUCAUCAUGGCCCUUACGACCAGGGCUACACACGUGCUACAAUGGCAUAUACAAAGAGAAGCGACCUCGCGAGAGCAAGCGGACCUCAUAAAGUAUGUCGUAGUCCGGAUUGGAGUCUGCAACUCGACUCCAUGAAGUCGGAAUCGCUAGUAAUCGUAGAUCAGAAUGCUACGGUGAAUACGUUCCCGGGCCUUGUACACACCGCCCGUCACACCAUGGGAGUGGGUUGCAAAAGAAGUAGGUAGCUUAACCUUCGGGAGGGCGCUUACCACUUUGUGAUUCAUGACUGGGGUGAAGU
rnacentral:rRNA from 1 species